rnacentral:rRNA from 1 species
CCUACGGGUGGCAGCAGUCGAGAAUCAUUCACAAUGGGGGAAACCCUGAUGGUGCGACGCCGCGUGGGGGAAUGAAGGUCUUCGGAUUGUAAACCCCUGUCAUGUGGGAGCAAAUUAAAAAGAUAGUACCACAAGAGGAAGAGACGGCUAACUCUGUGCCAGCAGACGCGGUAAUACAGAGGUCUCAAGCGGUGUUCGGAAUCACUGGGCGUAAAGCGUGCGUAAGCUGUUUCGUAAGACCUGUGGGAAAGGGGCGGGCUGAACCCGCGGACGGCAGAUGAUACUGCGGGACUAGAGUGAGGGAGGGGGAAGCGGAAUUCGCGGUGUAGCAGUGAAAUGCGUAGAUAUCGAGAGGAACACUCGUGGCGAAGGCGGGUUCCUGGACAUUAACUGACGCUGAGGCACGAAGGCGAGGGGAGCGAAAGGGAUUAGAUACCCGUGUAGUC